rnacentral:miRNA from 1 species
GGCCAGCAGCAGCUCGGCUUCUGAGAACGGUGGGUCGUUAUCAGAGGUGGACUGCACGGCC